rnacentral:rRNA from 1 species
UACGAAGGGGGCUAGCGUUGCUCGGAAUCACUGGGCGUAAAGGGUGCAUAGGCGGGGUUUUAAGUCAGGGGUGAAAUCCUGGAGCUCAACUCCAGAACUGCCUUUGAUACUGAAGAUCUUGAGUCCGGGAGAGGUGAGUGGAACUGCGAGUGUAGAGGUGAAAUUCGUAGAUAUUCGCAAGAACACCAGUGGCGAAGGCGGCUCACUGGCCCGGUACUGACGCUGAGGCACGAAAGCGUGGGGAGCAAACAGG